rnacentral:rRNA from 1 species
GCCUUGAGGCGUGGCUUCCGGAGCUAACGCGUUAAGUCGACCGCCUGGGGAGUACGGCCGCAAGGUUAAAACUCAAAUGAAUUGACGGGGGCCCGCACAAGCGGUGGAGCAUGUGGUUUAAUUCGAUGCAACGCGAAGAACCUUACCUACUCUUGACAUCCAGAGAACUUAGCAGAGAUGCUUUGGUGCCUUCGGGAACUCUGAGACAGGUGCUGCAUGGCUGUCGUCAGCUCGUGUUGUGAAAUGUUGGGUUAAGUCCCGCAACGAGCGCAACCCUUAUCCUUUGUUGCCAGCGGUCCGGCCGGGAACUCAAAGGAGACUGCCAGUGAUAAACUGGAGGAAGGUGGGGAUGACGUCAAGUCAUCAUGGCCCUUACGAGUAGGGCUACACACGUGCUACAAUGGCGCAUACAAAGAGAAGCGACCUCGCGAGAGCAAGCGGACCUCAUAAAGUGCGUCGUAGUCCGGAUUGGAGUCUGCAACUCGACUCCAUGAAGUCGGAAUCGCUAGUAAUCGUAGAUCAGAAUGCUACGGUGAAUACGUUCCCGGGCCUUGUACUCCCCGCCCGUCAAA